rnacentral:rRNA from 1 species
UAGGGAAUCUUCCGCAAUGGACGCAAGUCUGACGGAGCAACGCCGCGUGAGUGAAGAAGGAUUUCGGUUCGUAAAACUCUGUUGUUAGAGAAGAACAGCGCAUAGAGUAACUGUUAUGCGUGUGACGGUAUCUAACCAGAAAGCCACGGCUAACUACGUGCCAGCAGCCGCGGUAAUACGUAGGUGGCAAGCGUUGUCCGGAUUUAAUGGGCGUAAAGCGAGCGCAGGCGGUCAAUUAAGUCUGAUGUGAAAGCCCCCGGCUCAACCGGGGAGGGUCAUUGGAAACUGGUUGACUUGAGUGCAGAAGAGGAGAGUGGAAUUCCAUGUGUAGCGGUGAAAUGCGUAGAUAUAUGGAGGAACACCAGUGGCGAAGGCGACUCUCUGGUCUGUAACUGACGCUGAGGCUCGAAAGCGUGGGUAGCAAACAGG